GACGAACGCUGGCGGCGGGCCUAACACAUGCAAGUCGAACGGAAAGGCCCUGCUUUCUCCUGGUGCCAGCGGGGGGAGGGGGUGUGAUACACAUGAGUAUCCUGCCCUGGGGUGUGGGACAUCUUCAGGAAACCGCGGCUAAUACCUGCUAGGAGCGCGUGCUGCAUGGUGGGCGUUGGACAGUUUGGGCGGAUGGGGGUGGACUGGGGGGUUACCAGCUUGUUGGUGGGGGAGUUGCUUACGGAGGGUUCGAUGGAUAGUCGGCCUGAGAGGGUGGACAGGGACAUGGCGACUGAGGUACGGCGCAGACGGCUACGGGAGGCAGCAGUGGGGAGUAUGGCACAAUGAGGGGAAGCCUGAGGCAACAACGCCGCGUGCGGGAUGACGGCUUUCGGGUUGUAAACCGCAGUCGCCUGAGACGAAGCGUGAUUGACGGUAAUGGGUAAAGAAGCACCGGCUAACUACGUG
rnacentral:rRNA from 1 species